rnacentral:lncRNA from 10 species
AGGUAGCCGUUUGGCGUCGUGAGGUAUGGAUGUUCCCAUCCCUAAUUUGCAAAAUAGGUAACUGAGGCUCAGGAGAGCUAGACUAGUUUGUGCACAGCCGAGAAGUGGUCAAGCUAGAAUGGGACCCCAGGUUUGUGCUCCCUACUCUCCACCGAUAACCUAUCAAAGGGCUUUGCAAGAGCUUUUGACUAAUCGUCUGUCAAUGGUUCUUCAUUCACGUAUUAAUUGCACAUCAGUAUGUGCCAAAUCUACUAGACAUUGGAGAAACAGUAGGAACAACACAUGGUACCGGCACAUGGAUCUUUCAGGAAAACGAAGUAGGUAAUAAACAGGAAAAAGCCCGAGUCUGAUGCUAAGAAGAACAUAAACAGGAUGCUGAGUGUGGCUCUGUGCCUAUGCUCUCCCCAGCGGAAAGUGACCAGAAGAGGUGUGCAGUUUCCAGGCCUGGCCCAUACAGACCUCCAACAGGUGCUCCCCUGUGCUGUUACUCCUUCUGCCAACUGGAAGCAGAUGGUGACCAGGCUCUGGAGAAGGCAAGGCCUGAAGAUGGGAGAUUCCUAAGUGGAGGAGAACUGUGCCUUACUGACCUAAAUAUCCACUCAGUA